AUUGAACGCUGGCGGCAGGCCUAACACAUGCAAGUCGAACGGUAACAGGAAACAGCUUGCUGUUUCGCUGACGAGUGGCGGACGGGUGAGUAAUGUCUGGGAAACUGCCUGAUGGAGGGGGAUAACUACUGGAAACGGUAGCUAAUACCGCAUAACGUCGCAAGACCAAAGAGGGGGACCUUCGGGCCUCUUGCCAUCGGCUGUGCCCAGAUGGGAUUAGCUAGUAGGUGGGGUAACGGCUCACCUAGGCGACGAUCCCUAGCUGGUCUGAGAGGAUGACCAGCCACACUGGAACUGAGACACGGUCCAGACUCCUACGGGAGGCAGCAGUGGGGAAUAUUGCACAAUGGGCGCAAGCCUGAUGCAGCCAUGUCGCGUGUAUGAAGAAGGCCUUCGGGUUGUAAAGUACUUCCAGCGGGGAGGAAGGGAGUAAAGUUAAUACCUUUGCUCAUUGACGUUACCCGCAGAAGAAGCACCGGCUAACUCCGUGCCAGCCGCCGCAGUAA
rnacentral:rRNA from 1 species